CUUCCUACGGGGCGCAGCAGUGGGGGAUAUUGCACAAUGGGGGAAACCCUGAUGCAGCAACGCCGCGUGAGUGAAGAAGGUCUUCGGAUUGUAAAGCUCUGUUCUUGGUGAAGAUAAUGACGGUAGCCAAGGAGAAAGCUCCGGCUAACUACGUGCCAGCAGCCGCGGUAAUACGUAGGGAGCGAGCGUUGUCCGGAUUUACUGGGUGUAAAGGGUGCGUAGGCGGGCGAGAAAGUUGAAUGUUAAAUCUACCGGCUUAACUGGUAGCUGCGUUCAAAACUUCUUGUCUUGAGUGAAGUAGAGGC
rnacentral:rRNA from 1 species